rnacentral:rRNA from 1 species
UACGGGGGGAGCAAGCGUUGUUCGGAUUUACUGGGCGUAAAGGGCGCGUAGGCGGCCAGCGCAAGUCAGUUGUGAAAUCUCCGGGCUUAACUCGGAAAGGUCAACUGAUACUGCGCGGCUAGAGUGCAGAAGGGGCAACUGGAAUUCUCGGUGUAGCGGUGAAAUGCGUAGAUAUCCAGCGGAACUCCGGUGGCGAAAGCGGCGGACUGGACCCCCACUGACGCUGAGGCGCGAAAGCCAGGGGAGCGAACGGG